AGAGCAGGUUAAACGGUCGCUCGUGUCCUGGACCUGGUCUUUGGAUGCGGGAGGAAAGUCCGAGCUCCGCAGGGCAGGGUGCUCCGUAACGCGGAGUCGCGGUGACGCGAAGGAAAGUGCCACAGAAAAGAAACCGCCUUGUGAGAUAGGCAUAGCUGCCGUUUUGCAGGGUAAGGGUGAAAAGGUGCGGUAAGAGCGCACCAGUUCUCCGGGUGACCGGGGAAGCUUGGUAAACCCCACCUGGAGCAAGACCGAAUAGGGAAGCGUUUGAGGAUGGCCCGUCCGAGCUUCCGGGUUGGUCGCAAGAGGUAUUGGGCAACCAAUACCCUUAGAUGAAUGAUCGUUGUUCCGUAAAGGGUGACCAAUACGGAAAACAGAACUCGGCUUAUGGCCUGCUCUGACA
rnacentral:RNase_P_RNA from 1 species